rnacentral:rRNA from 1 species
GACGAACGCUGGCGGCGUGCUUAACACAUGCAAGUCGAACGCUGAAGCUUGGUGCUUGCUCUGGGUGGAUGAGUGGCGAACGGGUGAGUAAUACGUGAGUAACCUGCCCUUGACUCUGGGAUAAGCCUGGGAAACUGGGUCUAAUACUGGAUAUGACAUGCCACUGCAUGGUGGUGUGUGGAAAGGGUUUUACUGGUUUUGGAUGGGCUCACGGCCUAUCAGCUUGUUGGUGGGGUAAUGGCCUACCAAGGCGACGACGGGUAGCCGGCCUGAGAGGGUGACCGGCCACACUGGGACUGAGACACGGCCCAGACUCCUACGGGAGGCAGCAGUGGGGAAUAUUGCACAAUGGGCGGAAGCCUGAGGCAGCGACGCCGCGUGAGGGAUGACGGCCUUCGGGUUGUAAACCUCUUUCAGCACGGAAGAAGCGAGAGUGACGGUACGUGCAGAAGAAGCGCCGGCUAACUACGUG